rnacentral:lncRNA from 1 species
AAGUCACCCCUGCUGAGCCAGCUAGGUGCCUUGCCCGCACCCCCUAACCUGGGGCUGGCCUACCACGGUUUCUGCGUGACAUCACUCUUGCAGACCAGAAGAGCAAGAAGGGAACUUGGGAUCCCGUUCUGUUGGGCACCGGGCAGGCGCCUAGAUUAGGUCCUUACCUGUCACAGACCUCCUCGAAUUGGAAGGAAGGCCCCAGAGUCUGCUGUGAGCAUGAAUCCCUGCCUCAUGUGCUGUGAGGUCAGCACGGGCUCAGCCUGCAGUUGGUCCUUUCUAGAAAGAAACUAUGCUGUGUCUCACGGAGUGAAACGCACCGUGGACGCACUCUCUUCCUUCACCCUUUGAAUCAGGCACCUGGCAGAAGCCGCAGCCAGUCCUGUGUACAGGCACAAAGGUCUUGCCACCUGGCUCGCUGCCUCUUCACUGUCACCAAAGGGCAGAACUUUGAACAUUUGCAUUCCAAGUGGCAUUCCUGCCCUGUGGCAGGGCCAGGUACAGUGUGCCCAGAGCAGCAUUCCCUCAGAAACACACAGGAAACAGGCUCAGAGGCACAGCCACAGGAGGAGGGAGACAGACAGCAAGAGGGACCCCUGCAGAGAGGUGGGGCGGGCAAAGACAUCGAAGAGAAAAGGAGAGGCAGAGAUAACAAAGAACCGUUUUGAAUGAAGCCUAAACAUCUCCUCCUUUAAACCUUUACUGGGGAGACCUUUGUCAUUAGUCACCAGGACUGAUGGCACCAUUAGACUUUGUCAUUAGUCACCAGGACUAAUGACACCAUUAGACCUUUGUCAUUACCUGCCAUUUUCCGGCAUGACUGUUGACUCCUCAGGAUGCCAUGAGAUGGGAAGGUGUAUGGUGGUAGUUGGAUGCAUGUGCCAGGGGGUGACUCAGCCAUGCCCAGCAAGGCAAAACAGAAGCCUGUGAGUGACCUGGAGGACUGCAGGGGCCUAAAGCCCUGCUCCCACCUGCUGGGGUUGGAUGUCAACUACCUAGAGCUCCUGGGAGUCCCAGCCCCCCCACUCCUGCCCCACCCUCUCUGCUCCCUUUGAUCAGCUCCGUUGUCCCAGCCUAAUGAGUCAGAGUAAAGAUGGGAGCAUUUCUGUUCUGCUUUUAUCAGACCUGUGACAAAACCCCUUGGCUGAAAACACCUGAGCAGCAGCAGAGGUCCACUGGGAAAGCCAGAGGACAGAGACUUCCUGCCUCACCCACUGACAGCUCGCUCUUAUUUCUCUCUCACUGACUCCAGAUUUUGAAAGCUCACGACCACCAAGGAAACUACCUCACAUGAUCCUGUCUUUAUUAAUCAAGCACAUAAUAAUUACACAUGCAAUUUUAAAAGAGAAGUAAUAACAAACACCAUUGGCCUGAUGGGUGAGAGUUAGGUUUGAUGAGCAAGGAUGGUAGGCAUAUGGUUGUCCACUAUUGGGGUAUAUUUAACGUGUUUCCUAGCGAACAGUAAGAGCAUGUUGAACCUGUAUUCAGCUUAAUUCUGAAUUCUUAAUAUGACUGGUAUUUUCAGAUAGGAUUGAAAGGUUUAUU